GUGCUCACUUUGGCAGUACAUAUACUAAAAUUGAAACGAUAUAGAGAAGAUUAGCACGGGCCCAGCACAAGGAUGACACACUAAUUCAUGAAGUAUUCCAUAUUUUU